rnacentral:rRNA from 1 species
AUUGAACGCUGGCGGCAGGCCUAACACAUGCAAGUCGAGCGAGCGGCGGACGGGUGAGUAAUGGAGGGGAACUGCGCGAUAGAGGGGGAUAACUACUGGAAACGGUGGCUAAUACGGCAUACUGGCGGAUAAGCCAUAUGGGAUUAGCUAGUGGGUAAGGUAAUGGCUUACCUAGGCGACGAUCCCUAGCUGGUCUGAGAGGAUGAUCAGCCACACUGGGACUGAGACACGGCCCAGACUCCUACGGAGGCAGCAGUGGGGAAUAUUGCACAAUGGGCGCAAGCCUGAUGCAGCCAUGCCGCGUGUAUGAAGAAGGCCCUAGGGUUGUAAAGUACUUUCAGUCGGGAGGCGUUACCGACAGAAGAAGCACCGGCUAACUCCGUGCCAGCAGCCGCGGUAAUAC